rnacentral:rRNA from 1 species
UACGUAGGGGGCUAGCGUUGUUCGGAAUCACUGGGCGUAAAGCGCGCGUAGGCGGCUUUCUAAGUCAGGGGUGAAAUCCUGGAGCUCAACUCCAGAACUGCCUUUGAUACUGGAGAGCUUGAGUCCGGAAGAGGUGAGUGGAACUCCGAGUGUAGAGGUGAAAUUCGUAGAUAUUCGGAAGAACACCAGUGGCGAAGGCGGCUCACUGGGCCGGUACUGACGCUGAUGUGCGAAAGCGUGGGGAGCAAACAGG